rnacentral:tRNA from 1 species
AGAGGUUUGGCUUGGUGGAAGAGCCCCUGCCUUGCAUGCAGAAGGCCACAGGUUCAAUCCCCAGCAUCUUCAG